AACAAUAUGUUAAACAGCACCACCAGUCCUAAGCUCAGUUAAAAUUACUAACAUGCAUUCAUACAAGGUUUUAAUUCUAAUUACUAAAGUUAUAUCAUUAAAUAA